AUUGAACGCUGGCGGCAGGCCUAACACAUGCAAGUCGAACGAGUGGCGGACGGGUGAGUAAUGUCUGGGAAACUGCCUGAUGGGGGGGGAUAACUACUGGAAACGGUAGCUAAUACCGCAUACCAUCAGAGGUGCCCAGAUGGGAGUAGCUUGGUGGUGGGGUAACGGCUCACCAAGGCGACGAGCCCUAGCUGGUCUGAGAGGAUGACCAGACACACUGGAACUGAGACACGGUCCAGAGUCCUACGGGAGGCAGAAGUGGGGAAUAUUGGACAAGGGGCGCAAGCCUGAUGCAGCCAUGCCGCGUGUAUGAAGAAGGCCUUCGGGUUGUAAAGUACUUUCAGCGGGGAAGCGUUACCCGCAGAAGAAGCACCGGCUAACUCCGUGCCAGCCGCCGCGGUAAUAC
rnacentral:rRNA from 1 species